AUUGAACGCUGGCGGCAGGCCUAACACAUGCAAGUCGAGCGGAUGAAGGGAGCUUGCUCCUGGAUUCAGCGGCGGACGGGUGAGUAAUGCCUAGGAAUCUGCCUGGUAGUGGGGGAUAACGUCCGGAAACGGGCGCUAAUACCGCAUACGUCCUGAGGGAGAAAGUGGGGGAUCUUCGGACCUCACGCUAUCAGAUGAGCCUAGGUCGGAUUAGCUAGUUGGUGGGGUAAAGGCCUACCAAGGCGACGAUCCAUAACUGGUCUGAGAGGAUGAUCAGUCACACUGGAACUGAGACACGGUCCAGACUCCUACGGGAGGCAGCAGUGGGGAAUAUUGGACAAUGGGCGAAAGCCUGAUCCAGCAAUGCCGCGUGUGUGAAGAAGGUCUUCGGAUUGUAAAGCACUUUAAGUUGGGAGGAAGGACAGUAAGUGAAUACCUUGAUGUUUUGACGUUACCAAAAGAAAAAGCACCGGCUAACUACGUG
rnacentral:rRNA from 1 species